rnacentral:rRNA from 1 species
GUUGACCUCGGAUCAGUGUCUGUCAGUGUGUG